CAAGCAGCCAAUGUGCAAAAGAAGACAAGUAGUGCAAAUAGUAAUCUAAAAAAGUUUACUGAGAACAUGAGUUCUGGAGGAAUUAGAGACAGUUCAGCAUUGUGAGUAAUUGUGGAUUGAGAAUGACUGCAGGUAUGCAGUGGGAGGGUGCCUGCACUUGGGAGAAGCUCACAACGGCAGCGACAGUCCAUACGCAACCUACCUGCUACAGAGCACUGAAGGAAAAGUAGAUGGAGUCUGCUUCUGCAGAGGAGCAAGACAAUGAACUCCCUGUUGCAGUGAGCUUCUUUCCUGGGUCCCGCACAUAAGUGCCAUUAUGAAGAAAGUACAGCAGUGCCUCUACUUCCUUAGAAGUUUGUGAAGAUUUGGCAUGUCAUAUAAAACUUUGACAAACUUCUACACAUGUGUGGUGGGAGGUAUAUUGAUCAGUUGCUUCAUGGCCUAGUAUGAAAGCAAUGAUGCGUUGGAAUAGAAAAGCCUACAAAAAGUAGUGGAUAUGGCCCAGUCCAUCAUGGAUAAAUCCCUUCCCAUCACUGAGUACAUCUACAUAGCACACUGUCGUAGGAAAGCAGCAUCCAUCAUCGAGGACCUCCACCAUCAAAGCCAUGCUCUCUUUUACUACUGCUAUCAGGAAGAAGGUACAGGCACCUCAGGGCCUACACCACCAGGUUUAGGAACAGUUAUCACCCCUCAACCAUCAGGCACUUAAACCAGAGAGGACAACUUCACUCAAGUUCACUUGCUCCAUCACUGAUCAGUUCCUACAACCUAUAGACUCACUUCCAAGGACUUUUCAUCUCAUGUUCUUGAUAUCUAUGGCUUAUUUAUUUAUAUGACGAUUAUUAUUCUUUUUGUAUUUGCACAGUUUGUUAUCUUUUGCACAUUGAUUGUUUGUCUGUCCUAGAAUGGUUGAUCAG